AAGGAUCAUUACAGAGUUCAUGCCCUCACGGGUAGAUCUCCCACCCUUGAAUAUUAUACCUUAGUUGCUUUGGCAGGCCGGGGCGACCCCCGGGGCUUCGGCCUUGGUGUGCCUGCCAGAGGAAACAAACUCUGUUUUUAGUGAUGUCUGAGUACUAUAUAAUAGUUAAAACUUUCAACAACGGAUCUCUUGGUUCUGGCAUCGAUGAAGAACGCAGCGAAAUGCGAUAAGUAAUGUGAAUUGCAGAAUUCAGUGAAUCAUCGAAUCUUUGAACGCACAUUGCGCCCCGUGGUAUUCCGCGGGGCAUGCCUGUUCGAGCGUCAUUUCAACCCAUCAAGCUUCGGCUUGGUCUUGGGGCCUGCGAUUCCGCAGCCUCUAAACCCAGUGGCGGUGCCUCCGAGCUCUGAGCGUAGUAAUUCUUCUCGCUAUAGGGUCUCGGUGGUGUCUUGCCAGUAACCCCCAAUUUUUUACAGGUUGACCUCGGAUCAGGUAGGGAUACCCGCUGAACUUAAGCAUAUCAAUAAGCGGAGGAAAAGAAACCAACAGGGAUUACCUCAGUAACGGCGAGUGAAGCGGUAACAGCUCAAAUUUGAAAUCUGCCGCAAGGCCGAGUUGUAAUUUGUAGAAGAUGCUUUGGGUAUGGCCCCGGUCUAAGUUCGUUGGAACACGACGUCAUAGAGGGUGAGAAUCCCGUAUGUGACUGGGUGCUUUUGCCUAUGUAAAGCUCUUUCGACGAGUCGAGUUGUUUGGGAAUGCAGCUCAAAAUGGGUGGUAUAUUUCAUCUAAAGCUAAAUAUUGGCCAGAGACCGAUAGCGCACAAGUAGAGUGAUCGAAAGAUGAAAAGCACUUUGGAAAGAGAGUUAAACAGUACGUGAAAUUGUUGAAAGGGAAGCGCUUGCAACCAGACUUGCACGCUGUUGAUCAUCCAGGCUUCUGUCUGGUGCACUCGGCAGCGUUCAGGCCAGCAUCGGUUCUGGUGGUGGGAUAAAGGCCUUGGGAAUGUAGCUUCUUUCGGGGAGUGUUAUAGCCCUCGGUGCAAUGCCGCCUAUCGGGACCGAGGACCGCGCUUCGGCUAGGAUGCUGGCGUAAUGGAUGUAAGCGACC
rnacentral:rRNA from 1 species